CUUGGUCAUUUAGAGGAAGUAAAAGUCGUAACAAGGUUUCCGUAGGUGAACCCGCGGAAGGAUCAUCACAAGUGAGGCUACCGAACGUUGGAAACAGCGGUUAGGAGCUUACACCCACCCGUGUUUACAUACUAUUGUUGCUUUGGCGGGCCGUGGCCUCCACUGCGGGCUCUGCUCGUGUGUGCCCGCCAGAGAACCAAACUCUGAAUGUUAGUGAUGUCUGAGUACUAUCUAAUAGUUAAAACUUUCAACAACGGAUCUCUUGGUUCUGGCAUCGAUGAAGAACGCAGCGAAAUGCGAUAAGUAAUGUGAAUUGCAGAAUUCAGUGAAUCAUCGAAUCUUUGAACGCACAUUGCGCCCUGUGGUAUUCCGCAGGGCAUGCCUGUUCGAGCGUCAUUUAACCACUCACGCCUAGCGUGGUAUUGGGGCACGCGGUCUCCGCGGCCCUCAAAAUCAGUGGCGGCGCCGGUGGGCUCUAAGCGUAGUACAUACUCCCGCUAUAGAGUUCCCCCCGGUGGCUCGCCAGAACCCCCAAUUUUUUACAGGUUGACCUCGGAUCAGGUAGGGAUACCCGCUGAACUUAAGCAUAUCAAUAAGCGGAGG
rnacentral:rRNA from 1 species